rnacentral:rRNA from 1 species
CGGCGAGUGAAGCGGCAACAGCUCAAAUUUGAAAUCUGGCCCCCCGCGGGCCCGAGUUGUACUUUGGAGAGGACGCUUCUGGCGCGGCGCCGUCCGAGUUCCCUGGAACGGGACGCCGGAGAGGGUGAGAGCCCCGUACGGGCGGCCGCCUAGCCUCUGCGAAGCUCCUUCGACGAGUCGAGUAGUUUGGGAAUGCUGCUCAAAAUGGGAGGUAAAUUUCUUCUAAAGCUAAAUACCGGCCAGAGACCGAUAGCGCACAAGUAGAGUGAUCGAAAGAUGAAAAGCACUUUGAAAAGAGGGUCAAACAGUACGUGAAAUUGUUGAAAGGGAAGCGCCUGUGGCCAGACUUGCGCCCCGCGGACCACCCGGCGCCUCGCGCGCCGGGGCACGCCAGCGGGGCGCAGGCCAGCAUCGGCUCUCUCGGGGGGACAAAGGCCGCGGGAACGUAGCGCCCUCGCGGCGUAUUAUAGCCCGCGGCGCCAUGCCCCCGGGGGGGCCGAGGACCGCGCUCCGGCAAGGAUGCUGGCGUAAUGGCCACCGGCGACCCGUCUUGAAACACGGACCAAGGAGUCAAGCAUUGGGGCGAGUGUCUGGGUGGCAAGCCCGCACGCGGAAUGAAAGUGAACGCAGGUGGGAGCUUCGGCGCACCACCGACCGAUCCUGAUGUCCUCGGAUGGAUUUGAGUAGGAGCCCCGCCGCUUGGACCCGAAAGAUGGUGAACUAUGCCUGUAUAGGGUGAAGCCAGAGGAAACUCUGGUGGAGGCCCGCAGCGGUUCUGACGUGCAAAUCGAUCGUCAAAUAUGG